CAUUGUUUAUGUUCAAAAUUUUCUUUGGAAAAUAUUUGCAAAAGGAGAUAAAAAGAAAAGAAAAAAAAGGGAGAAAGCCUACCUGGAACCAGGCCGUGUGGCCUAGGCUCCCACCCACAUCCAUCUCCCGCGGCCAUCAAUGGCGCCGCCGCGCCGGGAGACUCCCUGGCGGCCGGCCCGCUACCGAUGGCCCUCUGAUUGGAUCUCCACCGUUGGAUUCAAGAUCGGCGGUCACGAAAAGAAGAUAGCCCUUCGGGGCAAAUUAUGUUAAAGAGCCUCUAAACUUUUCCACUUUAACACCCG
rnacentral:lncRNA from 1 species